AUUGAACGCUGGCGGCAUGCCUUACACAUGCAAGUCGAACGGCAGCACGGGUGCUUGCACCUGGUGGCGAGUGGCGAACGGGUGAGUAAUACAUCGGCACAUGUCCUGUAGUGGGGGAUAGCCCGGCGAAAGCCGGAUUAAUACCGCAUACGAUCUACGGAUGAAAGCGGGGGACCUUCGGGCCUCGCGCUUUCGGGUUGGCAGAUGGCUGUUUAGCUAGUUGGUGGGGUAAAGGCCUACCAAGGCGACGAUCAGUAGCUGGUCUGAGAGGACGACCAGCCACACUGGGACUGAGACACGGCCCAGACUCCUACGGGAGGCAGCAGUGGGGAAUUUUGGACAAUGGGCGAAAGCCUGAUCCAGCAAUGCCGCGUGUGUGAAGAAGGCCUUCGGGUUGUAAAGCACUUUUGUCCGGAAAGAAAUCCUUGGCCCUAAUACGGUCGGGGGAUGACGGUACCGGAAGAAUAAGCACCGGCUAACUACGUG
rnacentral:rRNA from 1 species